ensembl:lncRNA
CAGAACGUACACAAGCUUUAUUGGGCAACAGCAACGAGCCGCGCUGGCAAACAAUGAAAGUAGAGUCGCUCAGAAACACGAAAGAUCGUAUGUGUGUCAUCACAGCAUCAAGAAUUUAAAUCAUCUGGAAGUUCCUGCUAAAUUAAAGCAUACUGUGCCAGAGCUCCCCUCUAAUCAAAAAAUGCUGUCCUGGUGAAAAUUUGCAACGAGGAUUACAGAGACAGAGAUCAACUAAUGAGGAAAUCACGGACUCUUACAUGAGUUUACAGUUAACCCCACUGCAACAAAAUAAUAAAUUAGCCAUAAUUUGUUUUUUUGCAAAUACCAUGCCCCCCACCUGACCCCACAAACACAACAGUCACUGACAGGGCCCAGCUAUGUUAACAGAUUGUGCCUCAAACCAUGCUGUGGUGGAGAAGACAGAUUCACGGGUAAUGCCGCUUUGGCCUGAGAAGAUGUGUCAGAGCUCCAGGUGGAGGGGUGCUCACGCUGCAGGAUGCUUUGCAGUUCCAUUCAAAAACAUAAUAUAUUUUUUUCCAAGAAGAACUGGACAUAACUCAUGGGAAUAUUUUAAGUAUAUAUAAACAGCAAAAAAGCUGUACAUUGAAAAAGGGGGGAGAAAUAAAAUCUGUUGUAUUUACAAAGCUCUUUGUAUACUUUUUUAAAUGAAAACAAAGCUGGAAGUGAUAGAAUUUUAAUGCAAUGAAAACCAAACAAUUCUUCAAAAAACUUGACAUGAUAUUCUCUCGCUCUUUCACACACACACACGCACACACACCCCACACACUUCAAACAUACAGAAGAGGUUAAAGAUAAAAAUAGCUGAUAGGUGUUUAAGUAGGAUGGAGCAGAAGAAUGUACACGUCCCAUUUGCAAUUUUGGCAAAGAUUUAAAAUGCUGCCCUAAAGGCACGCAAGCAUGCCCAGCCCACUCCAGUAAAAACAAGACAAAGUAUAAAAAGAAAAUUCUGGCGGGGGUUGGCGGAGGCAUUAGCAUAUCGAUUUCCAAUGAGCACAAAAUUCAAAAUACAUUAAAAAGUAGCUUGGCAUACAUUUUCAGCAGAGAAGAAACUGAGGAAAUGUUCAUAAAGAGACAAUGGUUUUUAAGGUUUACUGUCACGAAAAAAAAAAAAAAAAAGGUUUCACUCCAGGGGAGCGGAACUGGGAUGGAAAUUUUACAAUGCUAGUUCCAGCACGUGGCCUAUUGGCCCCAGGGGCUGGAAACGGGAGGUUUGUUCCAACUUUAAGAUGCUCCCUGGGAUGCCUUCCAAGCAGCUGGAGUUAGUGCCACCUGUCUCACCUGGCACCACAGGCAACACACAUGUGCACAUGCAUGCUUUCAAAAUGAGGAUCAAAACUGUCCCAUAUAAGAAAUUACUCAAGAUGGAAAAACUAGUCUGGUGAUUUUCUUAAGAGGAAAAAAAAAAAGAGAGACAAAAAGGAAGGAGGUGGAAAAAAAAGAAACCAAAUAGAUCCUGCUGCCCCGUCACACAACCAUCACCAAAAGACAUAUGAACAAUAAAAAAAAAAAUAACAGAAGUUCUUACUCUGGCAGAAAUAGCUAGUGUUGUCAGAGGGCGCAGGGAGCUGUGAGUUUUGCUUUCAGGAAAAGUGUUCAAACAGUGCUGACUGUGUACCUCGAGGCCCUCUGACCUCAAAUUAAAUUGGCUGUCAAAGACUUAAGGCCCAUGGAGCUCCCAGGUGAGAGUGUCAAUGGCGCUUUAUGUAAGUUCUUUCCAGAUUGAUGAACCAAGAAAAAGGUCAACUGAAUCCUUAUGCUUAAGGUUUACAAACUCAGGAGAGUUUCUUGUACAGUAACUCUAGUUUCUUGUUUGCUUAUUUCUUUGUCUUCCCCACCACAACUAAGAUAACCUCCGAGAAGUGCCCAAGCACCCCUGGGGUUCUCUGCUGGGCUUACAGUCUGAUUCGUGCAGGUAAAGAUCGUGUACUCUCACCGGACUGAAUCCUCCUGCCUUUGCGUCUCCAGCGUUUAAGAAGCAUGGUGUGGGCAUUCCUAGAUGCUCAGGGACCGUCCAGUGAAUGGCGUCAGCCAGCUGCCCAUGGAUGGGAUGAGCCAACCACGUGGUAGUUUGCACUUGAGUUCUGGUUCUUCUCACCCUUGACUGCCUCUGCCUCUGCCCCAGUGCGGCUGAGACAACAGAGUAAAAAGGUUUGUGGAGAACACUGACGAGUACCUUCCACUUCCAGCUAUGGCUUUUUCAGCCCCUCCUGGAAGCAUUCUCCCUUGAAGAUGUCAACCAGUAUCUUAAGUGUUGGCUUUAACGGUCAACUUGUGCAUCUCAAUCAAAAUUGAGAAUAGAAGGAAAAGGCCAGGGAGACCAUCUUUAUUCUGCUUCUGCUGGAAACCUCUAAAACCUCCUGAUGAGGCUCCCACACGGCCUGCCUGCAGGAUCCAGCAUCCCGAAUCUCCAAGCAAAGCCAGGUAGAGUUUCCAAAGUGUUGACAGAACUAUCUUAAGACUUCCCAGAGUUACAGAGCCAGGUUCAGGGUCUGCAGACUCUAAACAGGACUAUCUUAAGACUUCCCAGCGUUACAGACUGACUUCCAAGAAAACAGAGGCUUAAAAACUUCCAACACAACUUUCUCCUCCACCUUUGAAAACAGAAACUCACUCAAUGAAGACAUCAGAUUUGCUCAAUCUUUCUGAAAUUUUUGGACAAAGAUCCUAUCCUUAACUAUUCAUUCAAUACAUCUUUUCUGCUGACCUUUUCCCUCUGGCAGAAA